UUAAAGCCGUCUUUCUGCUUCGUGCUUUGCCAUAGAAGACACUAACAUCACUCUGGUCGAGGUGCUGAGCUGCCACAGUGACGACGAGCAUUAAACGGCCCGAAAUCUACAGCGACACUAAAGACAAAGAAGAGCAACAUGAUGAACAACCUGAGAGAUCAGCGAGCAAGUUUUCCCCCGAAGAGUUAUCUGCA